GUUUUCACCAUCAUAUACAC
rnacentral:snRNA from 1 species